AUGCUUAACACAUGCAAGUCGCACGGGCAGCUUCGGCUGUCAGUGGCGGACGGGUGAGUAACGCGUAGGUAUCUAUCCUUGGGUGGGGGAUAACCACGGGAAACUGUGGCUAAUACCGCAUGAAGACCGAGGUCCAAAGGCGCAAGUCGCCUAAGGAGGAGCCUGCGUCCGAUUAGCUUGUUGGUGGGGUAAAGGCCUACCAAGGCUCCGAUCGGUAGCUGGUCUGAGAGGAUGAUCAGCCACACUGGGACUGAGACACGGCCCAG
rnacentral:rRNA from 1 species